rnacentral:sRNA from 1 species
CCAUGAACAACGCUAAUUCCAACAUUCUAAUUUGUUCCGUGCGGUUUGAGAGGUUCCCUUCUGUUUCGACAGUUGUGUAGGACCCAGGACCAAAAUCGCAGGGUACAGAAUGGAGAGCGACGAAGCUUUUUCGACGCUCAAUCUUGGGUGCGGUUCUCCCCUUUUUCUCGAUGGGGAGGGUCGCAAUGAUUGAACGUACAU